AGCGAACGCUGGCGGCAGGCCUAACACAUGCAAGUCGAACGAACUCUUCGGAGUUAGUGGCGGACGGGUGAGUAACACGUGGGAACGUGCCUUUAGGCUCGGAAUAACUCAGGGAAACUUGUGCUAAUACCGAAUGUGCCCUUCGGGGGAAAGAUUUAUCGCCUUUAGAGCGGCCCGCGUCUGAUUAGCUAGUUGGUGAGGUAAAGGCUCACCAAGGGGACGAUCAGUAGCUGGUCUGAGAGGAUGAUCAGCCACAUUGGGACUGAGACACGGCCCAAACUCCUACGGGAGGCAGCAGUGGGGAAUCUUGCGCAAUGGGCGAAAGCCUGACGCGGCCAUGCCGCGUGAAUGAUGAAGGUCUUAGGAUUGUAAAAUUCUUUCACCGGGGACGAUAAUGACGGUACCCGGAGAAGAAGCCCCGGCUAACUUCGUGCCAGCCGCCGCCGUAA
rnacentral:rRNA from 1 species